GCGGGCCGUGAGAGCGGGAGCCCGGAGAUGGGCACUGAGACAAGGGCCCAGGCCCUACGGGGCGCAGCAGUCGCGAAAACUUUGCAAUACACGAAAGUGUGACAGGGCUAUCCCGAGUGCCAUCCGCUGAGGAAGGCUUUUACCCAGUCUAGAACGCUGGGGGAAUAAGGAGAGGGCAAGUCUGGUGUCAGCCGCCGCGGUAAUACCAGCUCUCCGAGUGGUGUGGAUGUUUAUUGGGCCUAAAGCAUCCGUAGCUGGCUAGGUAAGUCCUUUGUUAAAUCCACCGAAUUAAUCGUUGGAUCGCGGGGGAUACUGCUUGGCUAGGGGACGAGAGAGGCAGACGGAUUUUUGGGGUAGGGGUGAAUCCUAUAAUCCCAGGAAGACACCAGUGGCGAAGCUGUCUGCUAGACGCGCCCGA
rnacentral:rRNA from 1 species